UACACACUUGCAACAGACCGGCCGAGAGAAAACUGUCAACAAUAGCUAUCUCGCGCUGGGAGCUGACUUGGUCGGGUUCAAAUCGCCGGCGACAAUAAUUUCAUCUUCAGGAGCAGCUGAUUCUACGAUGGAUUCAACGAAUGAGCAGAACGAGCGGUAGCGAUCAACGCUGGAGCCUUUGAAUGCUCGGUGCUUUUGAAACGAUUGUGUACAGCAAUCAAUACACCACCGCCGGAUUGUUUGUCGCUAUUGGUGGUGUUUCUGUCGCAGCGGUAAAUGUUGAAGCAGGGCGAGAAGAGUGCUGAAUCUAUUACAGUGUCGUCCAGUGUUUUGCGUUGGUGUACAUACGGUGGCAGAGAUUUCGCUAUGACGGUGGCUUGUUUCAAAUGUGUUCGUAGGUUCGUCAUCACUGUCUUGGCUGAAAGCUGGCAAGCGGAGUGAGG